UUGUAAUUGUUAAUUAGUUUCUCAUUGGCCUACAUCAAUACAUGAAAAUUGUUACCGUGCUGAGGAAAAAGAGAGAGGAGAAUGGAUACAACAGAAAAUGUCGAGAACACGGUUGAUCAACUUUUACAUCCGGAACAGAAUUCACCACAAGGCAAGUUCGCCACAGGAAAUCAAGUUUCACAACAAACUAACAACAAGAAAGACAAACAAGCAACUAUGAAGAAACGUGGAGCUGUUCGAAUGGCAGGUUUCCUAUUUUGAUAAAUCUCGUAGGCGUACUGUUGUUGCUUGUUGGGUCUGUUGCCCCUGGUUGGUUGACAAUUAAAGCUAAUCAGAGAUUGCACAAAAGUUCAUAUGCAUUAUAUUAUGACAGUGAAACUCCUAGCUAUUUACACAAUGUGUACCAGGACUAUGCUUUAUGGUAUGUCACUCAGUGUUAUGAGCACGACGGCAGGAACACUGUGUGUGAAACGAUGACGUACCGAACGAUUGAUGGUAUUUAUGGAGAAGACAAUACUAAUUAUGAGAAGAUUGAAAUAGGGGAAAUGGAAAAAGUUGGAGACGAUCGGUUCGUGUUUCAUGGUGCAGGAUUAGUUGUAUUCUUGUUGGUGCCUGUGUUCAUGUUUGCCGUGGUACGCGGAGAUCUAAGAGAAAACGAACUUUCUGUGGAAUUUUACGACUCGUUAGGGUCUGCGUUUGCGGGAUGUGGAGGAGGGGUGAUGGCAUUGAUCGCUAUUACUAUAUUUUUGCAACUAGUAUUUUGCAGAAAUCAAGACGCCUAAAUCUUCAGCUGCAGGGAUGAAUCUGGCCCACCUAUACAAGUUGUGGACGACUAGGCUGUGGAUAUAAAAAAGGACAAACAUCCCUGUAGGCUAACACAGUAAAACUACCAUUGCUUUUGUUAAAACAAUUCGGAGUUUGUUCGAGCGCAGAUAUUGAAUGUGUUAAGAUAUAGAAGAGGUUUGUAAAUCGAAAAACGACUUUAUUUUUGUUAUUGAUGCAUAAACUUAUUUUUUUCAGUCAUAUUCCAUGCAGAUAUUUCAGGAAUUCACUUAGGACAUGUAACCUUUUCAGUAGUUCGAUAACACAUUGAAAUCAUCCUGAUAAUUCAUUGAAAAGCAAGAACCAUGUUUUGAAUUUCACGAAUAUCAGCGCGCAAAUGUCUUAGCAAUAUUUUGCAAUGACUAAGCUUAGUAAGUUAAUACUCGUCAAUAGUUGUGCAAUAUUUAUCUUUUAGUUGUCCAAUAUUUAUCUUAAGUUGUCAAAUAUUUAUCAUAAGUUGUCCCUAUCAGUGCCGUAGCCAAACACAAAUUUUAACCGAGGCAAUUUAGGGGGUCCGUGGGCAUGCCCCCUGGAAUUUGUUUCCCCCAGGACGUCUCUGGUGCGUUCUGGAGCACUCUCCGACUGUAUUAUAUCACAGUAAAAAUCGUCCUUUUAGCCAUAUUUAUCACAGUUACUUUCAUAUUUUAAGAAAAAAAUAUAGUAGUUUAUUAGUUAAGGCCCGAGAGGGGGUAGGUAGGGGAGGGGGCUCUUUCCGUGUUAGCGGGGAUCAGGGGUGUCCGCCUAGAAAAGUUUGAAUACAGGUAUAAAAUGGUGGCCUUUGAAGCUUAUUUUUUAUAUUUGAGGUACUGAAGGGGAUAACCUCCUCAUUUUUAGGGGGAUCAGGGGGCUCUGAUCCUGGGAAUUUUGAAAUACAGAUACGAAGUAGUGGCGUAUGGUGACUUUUUGGUCUAAAAAAAUGAGGAACUAUAGUGGAACCACCUCAUUUAAGGGGGGUCAGCGGGCUCUCUGGAAAAAAUCGAAAUGCAGGUAUGAAAUGGUGGCCUGGUGCAUAGUUUUGGCUAAAUUUUAUGGUUUGGGGAGGCUUCCCCCUCAUUUUAGUUGUGUCAGGGGGACUCUCUUCCUGGAAAAUUUUAAAAUACAGAUACGAAAUGGUAGCCUAUGGUGCAUUUUUCGUCUAAAUUAUUAAGCAAUGUAGAGGAAAGCCCCUCAUCAUUUUAGGGGGUCAGGGGGCUCUUGCCCUGGAAAACUUGAAAUGAAAUGCAGGUAUGAAAUGGUGGCCUCUGGUGCAUUUUUUUUUGGUGUCUGUAUUUUAAGGUAUUUGGGCGUUCCCUCGCAUUUUAGUUCGGGCUAUGGUAAAUUUUGAAAUACAGAUACGAAAUGGUGGCCUCUAGUGAAUUUUUGGUCUAAAUUUUGCGGUACCAUAUGGGUUCCUCCUCAUUUAAGUGGGGUCAGGGGGGGGGCCCUUCCACUCGAAAAUUUUGAAAUAUUGGUAUGAAAUAGCGGCCUCUUGUGAGUUUUUGGUUAUUUUCAAAAAUGAUAAUAAUAAUAAUAAAUAAUUGGGUGCAGUUUUGAUGAGCCAAUUUAGUAGAUGAAGGGUGGGGAGGGGGCACGUGUCCCCUCGGCUGGGCCCUUGAUCCGGGCCUUGUAAGCAGUUCAAGGCUAUCAAUAUGACCGUUAGAAUUUCUGCCUCACCUUGCUCCAAUGAUGUAAUGAGGCAAAUGAUAUUCUGAUAUAUUCUAAUGAUAUUAAUAUACUUUUUUGAACUUCUAUAACUGAAUUUUUCAUCAGUGUGAUAGGUCGACUUUUUUUACUUUUUUUUUGGCUCCUCAAAUUUUAACCGAGGCAACUGCCUCAGUUUGCCUCAGUGUAGCUACGGCGCUGCCUAUUGUCUUAUGAAAAAUGGCAAUGUACAUGUACCUGUGUGCAAUUGUACUCAAGUUAUUAGUACGAUGUUGUUUUAAAUAUUAUUACCUUGUAAAGAGUAAUGGUGCUGCCUGGAUAGUUUUCAUUUCACACAGCAUAUAUUCCAUGUGUCUACAAUUAUAUUGAUUUAUGACUUUUAAGUAGAGCAGUUUGUACAUGCAUGGUUUUGACUGUAUAAAAGUUUAGAUUUUUUUCUCAAUCUGACUAAAGUACUUCUCUAAACGAAGAUCUGAGGAUGACCUACUUACAUUUAUCUUUUUGUAUAUUUGGAUUUCCGAUAUUGCUAUGUUUAUUUUCGUAAAUCUACUUUUAUUAGAACUAAUCAGACGACUCAUUUCAACAAGCAUUUGGCUGAACCAUCAAAAUAGCGUCGAAUGUCACAGGGUGAGAAAAAAUGUGCAGGCAGUCCGGGGCUCGAACCCGGGACCACUCGCUUACAGGGCGAGUGCUGUACCAACUGAGCUAACCGGCUGCCUUACACAUAUUCUCCCCUUACGUGACCAAGUCCGUACCGUGACAUAUGAUACCUCUCAAAAUACGAGGGUGCAGUUAUGGUGUGGUCGUUGUAAUAAACAUGAAAAUACCAGGCUAAAUAUAGAUUUUUUAAACUUCUACUUUCACUUUCAAAAUGUUGAAAGCAAGGCUCUAAUUGAUUAGCGGAAGUGUCGUCAGAACGAGUCUAUCAUGAGCACGUCUCCAAAUCCAAAGCGUAGCGUUAAUUGGUGAUGUACUUUAGUCAGAUAGAUUUUUUCUAAUAUUUCGUGCUGAUAGUAUUCCUAUGUUUUUUUGCCCUUCCAUAUUUUCAUUGCAUAAAAUUUUAAAGUAAAACGUAGAAUAACUCAACACGUUGAUUGUGUUGAAGUGCUUUAUUUUUAAUCAUGAACUGUACAAACGAAAAAAUUAAAGCUUUAUGAAUA
rnacentral:tRNA from 1 species